UGCAAAACGAUGAUGGGAAGAGUAAUCGCGUGUACUUUUUACAGAGAGCCGGGAUGGGUGGAAACCGGUAAAAGGAGCGGGAUGAAGAUGGCCCCGGAGUUUUUGCUUUCGAGCGCAUGAUGCGUUAGGGGGCAACGUUUCCCGCGUUACGGGAUUGAGCCUGUCUUCUUUUGACUGGAAAGCUAGGAAGACAGGGAAUUUGGGUGGUACCACGAGAGCUUCUCGUCCCAUAU
rnacentral:ncRNA from 1 species